AUUGAACGCUGGCGGCAGGCCUAACACAUGCACGUCGAACGAGUGGCGGACGGGUGAGUAAUGUCUGGGAAACUGCCUGAUGGAGGGGGAUAACUACUGGAAACGGUAGCUAAUACCGCAUACCAUCGGAUGUGCCCAGAUGGGAUUAGCUAGUAGGUGGGGUAAAGGCUCACCUAGGCGACGAUCACUAGCUGGUCUGCGAGGAUGACCAGACACACUGGAACUGAGAAACGGUCCAGAGUCCUACGGGAGGCAGCAGUGGGGAAUAUUGCACAAUGGACGAAAGCCUGAUGCAGCCAUGCCGCGUGUAUGAAGAAGGCCUUCGAGUUGUAAAGUACUUUCAGCGGGGAGGCGUUACCCGCAGAAGAAGCACCGGCUAACUCCGUGCCAGCAGCCGCGGUAAUUC
rnacentral:rRNA from 1 species